rnacentral:rRNA from 1 species
UUGAACGCUGGCGGCUGCUUACACAUGCGAGUCGGACGGCAGCACAGAGAAGCUUGCUUCUUGGGUGGCGAGUGGCGAACGGGUGAGUAACAUAUCGGAACGUACCGAGCAGUGGGGGAUAACUAAUCGUAAGAUUAGCUAAUACCGCAUAUAUUCUGAGGAAGAAAGCAGGGGACCAUUUGGCCUUGCGCUGUUUGAGCGGCCGAUAUCUGAUUAGCUAGUUGGUGGGGUAAAGGCCUACCAAGGCGACGAUCAGUAGCGGGUCUGAGAGGAUGAUCCGCCACACUGGGACUGAGACACGGCCCAGACUCCUACGGGAGGCAGCAGUGGGGAAUUUUGGACAAUGGGCGCAAGCCUGAUCCAGCCAUGCCGCGUGUCUGAAGAAGGCCUUCGGGUUGUAAAGGACUUUUGUCAGGGAAGAAAAGGGCGGGGUUAAUACCCCUGUCUGAUGACGGUACCUGAAGAAUAAGCACCGGCUAACUACGUGCCAGCAGCCGCGGUAAUACGUAGGGUGCGAGCGUUAAUCGGAAUUACUGGGCGUAAAGCGGGCGCAGACGGUUACUUAAGCAGGAUGUGAAAUCCCCGGGCUCAACCUGGGAACUGCGUUCUGAACUGGGUGACUAGAGUGUGUCAGAGGGAGGUAGAAUUCCACGUGUAGCAGUGAAAUGCGUAGAGAUGUGGAGGAAUACCGAUGGCGAAGGCAGCCUCCUGGGAUAACACUGACGUUCAUGCCCGAAAGCGUGGGUAGCAAACAGGAUUAGAUACCCUGGUAGUCCACGCCCUAAACGAUGUCGAUUAGCUGUUGGGCAGCAUGACUGCUUAGUAGCGAAGCUAACGCGUGAAUCGACC